rnacentral:rRNA from 1 species
UACGUAGGGCGCAAGCGUUAUCCGGAAUUAUUGGGCGUAAAGAGCUCGUAGGCGGUUUGUCGCGUCUGCCGUGAAAGUCCGGGGCUCAACUCCGGAUCUGCGGUGGGUACGGGCAGACUAGAGUGAUGUAGGGGAGACUGGAAUUCCUGGUGUAGCGGUGAAAUGCGCAGAUAUCAGGAGGAACACCGGUGGCGAAGGCGGGACUCUGGGCCACUACUGACGCUGAGAAGCGAAAGCAUGGGGAGCGAACAGG